UUGUGCUAGGCGGGGCGCUAGCGGUGCCCUUUACGCCCAAAUCCGCUAUAUGGGGGGCUGAAUACCUCUGGAGGGUCUUAUUCCGGAAAUUCGCUGCCAUACUGAUCGGCCGCCGCGCAACAGACGGUCAUGAACCUCGUCAGAUCCGGGAGGAAGCAGCGAUAAGUGAUGCGGUCUGUGUCGUGGAUCGAUCCCGGUCAUUUCUAUGGCGCUUAUAUUCGGAAAGAUUCGAUAGGGGAUGCACAA
rnacentral:SRP_RNA from 1 species